rnacentral:rRNA from 1 species
UACGAAGGGUGCAAGCGUUAAUCGGAAUUACUGGGCGUAAAGGGCGCGUAGGCGGUUGUUUAAGUCUGUCGUGAAAUCCCCGGGCUCAACCUGGGAAUGGCGAUGGAUACUGGGCAGCUAGAGUGUGGCAGAGGAUGGUGGAAUUCCCGGUGUAGCGGUGAAAUGCGUAGAGAUCGGGAGGAACAUCAGUGGCGAAGGCGGCCAUCUGGGACAACACUGACGCUGAGGAGCGAAAGCGUGGGGAGCGAACAGG